rnacentral:rRNA from 1 species
UGGGGAAUAUUGCACAAUGGGGGAAACCCUGAUGCAGCGACGCCGCGUGAGCGAAGAAGGUUUUCGAAUCGUAAAGCUCUGUCCUAUGAGAAGAUAAUGACGGUAUCAUAGGAGGAAGCCCCGGCUAAAUACGUGCCAGCAGCCGCGGUAAUACGUAUGGGGCGAGCGUUGUCCGGAAUUAUUGGGCGUAAAGGGUACGUAGGCGGUCUAUUAAGUCAGGGGUGAAAUCCCGGGGCUCAACCCCGGAACUGCCUUUGAUACUGGAAGUCUUGAGUAUGGUAGAGGUGAGUGGAAUUCCGAGUGUAGAGGUGAAAUUCGUAGAUAUUCGGAGGAACACCAGUGGCGAAGGCGGCUCACUGGACCAUUACUGACGCUGAGGUGCGAAAGCGUGGGGAGCAAACAGG